rnacentral:rRNA from 1 species
AUGGACGUGGCGGAGGACCGGGAUGUUCUGUCCUGGCGCCUCGAGCCCUCUGGACGUUUCUCCACGAAGUCCCUGUACGGCAUCAUUGCUCCCUCGACGGCCCCAGAACCUUUUAGCCUAAUCUGGGACAUACGUCUCCCGCUGAAGAUCAGGAUCUUCCUGUGGCAAUGGAUCCGUGGACGCCUCCCCUCUGGGGUUGAGGUCCUCAAGCGUAAUGGCCCGGGUGAUGGGAUGUGCCCCAUUUGUGGCACGAUUGAGGAUGCUAACCACAUCUUUUUCUCGUGCCACUCUGCCCAGUUCCUUUGGGCCUGCUUCCGCGAAACGGUUGGCGGACAGUGGUGUAAUACCAACUUUCCCGACCUGCUUGCCGAGCUUAACGCCUGCCCUGCUCGCUACCGCCAUAUUAGAUGGUUGUGCAUUGGGGUUCUCGCCUGGACGCUUUGGAACAUUCGAAAUAAGCUUGUUAUUCAGAAGGUGCCCCUCCGUCGUGCGACUGACGCAAUCUUCAAAUUGUGUGGUUACCUACAGCUUUGGCGGCCUCUUAGCCGCCCCUAG